AUGGGCUGGGGCAUCGUGGACUGCCGCGACGGUUACAUCCUCCUGUGGAACUGGAACAUGAUGUCCGUCGCCGCCGUGAACCCCAUGACCUGGGCCGUGGACAUCAUCCCGUUGCCUGAGGAUGCCAGGGAAGGGCGUCUCCGUGGUUUCGCCUGGCUUGGUUCCCGUCUGCUGUCUUGUGAGGAGAACCCCUGGUCGUUCCGUGUGGUCUGCGUCUGCGCCGACGUGUCUAGGGUUCGUGCUGCCGUCUUCUCGUCGGAGACAUGGGGUUGGGUCAUCCACCCGGGGGUCGAAAUCGGUGGUGACAAUAGCCUCAAGUACAAUGCUGGCAUGCUGGUCCAUGGUUCCGUUUACCGGCCUUUCCAUGGCAAACACCGCAUGAUAAGGAUCAACACAGCCACCACCAUGGACAUCUUCUUGAGUGAAGAAAUUGGUCGGGUCACUCGGGGCUGGCUGGGCCACCUUAGGGUUGUGCAACUUAGGUCUGGAUAUGUCUACUUGUCCAUGAAAUGGAUUACCCCUGUUGGCAUACUCCGCUGCUGGUUCUUAUCCCUUUCAUUGGAGACCAUCAAGAUUGAGUCACUGAUCCACGGGACAUUUGGGGACUGUGCCUAUCCGUACGUUAUGGCAUGGCCUCCUUGUUUGAUUGGUCGUGAUGGGAGCAGCACUGGGCAUGAAGUUGAAGAGAAAAACACAGGACAGCUAGUUCUGGAAACAGCUGGGGAGAUUUGCAUUUUUGGCGAAGAGGAGGAGAACCUGUGGGCGGACUGCAUAGAUUGGGAGAGCGCCAAGAACCGCCCGGACAAGAACAGCCCUGCCAGCCAGAGACAGCAUAAGUCCCCUCCACCCAGCCAAAUGCCGGUCAACCUUGUCGAUGAUGAAGAAGAGGCAGUUGGUCCCUUGGUUGACUGGAUAUCGAAGAGUUUUGAAACAGCAGGGGAGGUUUGCGUUUUUGGCGAAGAGGAGGAGAACCUGUGGGCGGACUGCAUAAUGGCCAAGUCUGGUGCGCUGGUUGAUGGUCCCGUUUACUGGCCUAUCCAAGGCGAAGCACGCAUGGUAAGGGUCAACACUACCACCAUGGAUAUCGCCAUUGUGGAUCUACCAUCUCAAACUAUGAAGAUUGACUUGCUGAUUCAGGGGAGGUAUGAUGACCGCGGCUAUCCCUACAUUAUCGCCUGGCCUCCUUCUUUAGUUGUUGAUGAUGGACCUCAACUUGAAGAUCAGUAG
rnacentral:rRNA from 1 species